AACCAGCACCUCAAGUGGUCAGGAGGAUUAUUGGGCCUAAAGCAUCCGUAGCCGGUUCUGUAAGUUUCCGGUUAAAUCCACUAGCUCAACUAAUGGGCUGCCGGAAAUACUGCAGAACUAGGGAGUGGGAGAGGUAGACGGUACUCGGGAGGAAGGGGUAAAAUCCUUUGAUCUCUUGAUGACCACCUGUGGCGAAGGCGGUCUACCAGAACACGUUCGACGGUGAGGGAUGAAAGCUGGGGGAGCAAACCGG
rnacentral:rRNA from 1 species